AUAUGUCUGAAUGUUCGAUUCAAUCGCUUCAAUUUGAAAAUUCAUAAAAAGUCGUGCGCAUAUCUCAUGUUGCAGCAAGAAAUCAUUUGAAAUAUUGAUCGAUUUUAACGCAAUGAAAUAAAUACUGGAUAAAUAUUAAUUUACAAAUCGCUGCAAAAGCAAUAGGUUAAUAAAAAUAUUUUAUUUCAACGCCGGCAAAUUCGAGGCCAUCUAAAGGCGGAUUUCCAUUACACGCUGCCUUCACGAACGAUUAACAUAUCAUAGCGAAUAUUUAUACCAUAAACAGACAAUAUGAAGUUUGCUACGAAGUUUCUUACACCCAGAAGGAAAUGUCGGAGACCCUAUAAAAUCCUGGUAAUUGCUAAUCAAUAUUGCUAACGGUAUCCUCCUCCUCCUGCAGCGAAAUGAUCUUAAAGUGCAAACAAUUAAGAAAGAAAUAUAUUGCCGUUAGUUGCUUAAAAUUUCCAGUGUUGAGUUUAAAAAAUUUUCAAAUUAAAUAUUCAAUUACUAUUGUAAAUAUAAAAAGGGGGA